ACCAUCGCACCCCUGUGUGGUUCUUACUCAAACUGUUGCCAUAAAGUUGGAAGCACAGAGCUGUCUACAAUGUUUUUUGUAUACUGUAGUACUACAAAUUUCCCUUCACUGUAACUAAGAGACCCAAACCAGCAUGAAAGUUUCAUCAUGCAAAUGCCCAUGGGUACAAAGUGACCACCACGAAGACGUGGUUUCCCAAGGUUGGACUGUAAGGACUCAAAGAGCCCUGACCCCAGUGAAAACAUCUGGGAUGAACUGGAACGUCCACAGCACCCCAGGCCUCCUCACCUGACCUCACUAAUGCUCCUGUGGCUGAAUGAGCACAAAAAUCCUCACAGCCAACCUCACUCCAAAAUCUAGUGGAAAGCAUUCCCAGAAGAAUGGGAGGGGGUUAUUAUAAGCAAACAGCAUAAGGGGGACUAAAUCUGGAAUUGUUCAAAAUGCACAUGUGAUGAUGGUGAAGUGUCCACAAACUUUUCACCAUUCCUCGUGGAGAACUCCACUGCCCACGAUGCCACCGUGAGUGACGUCAUCCCGCUCACUGUCUCCUCCUGUCGGUAGCGCGCGGCUGUGACACUCUCCCGCUCCAGCCUGUCCUCCAUGAUUUCUGCAAAAUGAGCAAUAAAUCUCGGGAAAAACAGACGCGCUUGUUGUUUUAAUCGCCGUCAUGAACAGACACAACAGCAUACUGACACAGCGGCUUAGAGAUCUCCAAAGGCACCGGUGAGCGCGCGGGUGAGCAUGCCCGGUGACGUAGCGGCCCCGUCCGUGUGGGAAGUGGUGAGCGUGCUGGGCAGAGUGUUGUGCGCAGGCGCGGCUCUUACAGCCGCUCUCUACCUGAUCCGCAGAGUGUGUUUAAUAAUGGCCUGGAAAUCAGGAGGAGCCAACCAAGCGGAGCUUGUCAACAACCUCCGCAAGAAUGGCAUCAUCAAGUCGGACCGUGUGUACGAAGUCAUGCUAAGCACAGACCGAGCCCAUUUCUCCAGAUGUAACCCUUAUAUGGACUCUCCACAGUCUAUAGGAUACCAGGCAACCAUCAGUGCGCCACAUAUGCAUGCAUAUGCACUGGAGUUGUUACAUGAUCAGCUACAUGAAGGUGCCAAAGCUCUGGAUGUGGGAUCAGGCAGCGGCAUCCUGUCCGUCUGUUUCGCCAGAAUGGUGGGGCCAAAAGGAAAAGUCAUCGGGAUCGACCACAUAAAGGAGCUGGUGGACGACUCGAUCAACAACGUUAAGAAGGAUGAUCCCACUCUGAUAUCAUCAGGUCGCAUCAAACUUCUCGUUGGAGAUGGCAGGUUGGGCUAUCCGGAGGAGGCUCCCUAUGAUGCGAUACACGUAGGAGCCGCAGCUCCCUCUGUUCCACAGGCUUUACUGGACCAGCUGAAGCCUGGUGGGCGUCUCAUCCUGCCAGUCGGACCAGCUGGAGGGAACCAGAUGCUGGAGCAGCAUGACAAGCUGGAGGACGGCAGCACCAAAAUGAAGCCCCUCAUGGGGGUGAUUUACGUGCCUUUAACAGACAAAGACAAGCAGUGGUCCAGGUGGAAGUGACUUCCUGUUCCUCUCUUCCCCCUCCCUCCUUUCCCCAGGGAACAGGUGAAAAUGGUGUGGAGCAAGACAAGGCUGCCUUUGCUGGAUGAGCUCUAAAACAACAAUCUGGCAAUAUUCACGAUCAUACAUACAUACACACACACACACACACACACACAUACACACACAUACAGCAUCCAUCUGGACUUAACAACUAACGUCAGGAUGGUAAACGGACGACGAAGAAAAGCCACGCUCUCUGCACUCUCGCUCUCGGGACAGUCUGAUCGCCGUGUGGCCAAAGAGCCAUCAGGAUGGAUAAAACAGACGGCUUUAAAAAAAAAAAAAAACAACAACAACAAAGGAAAAUAAAAACUAAAUGAGGGGCUUUGUCUUGACAUUUUCAUGCCUGCAGUUUGCUUUGGAUUUAUUUGUGAGUUGUUCUCUUUGUUGAUUUGCAGGUGCACUUUUUUAUGAGAACUACAGUAUUGCAGCUGAUUCUUUUUUUUUCCUUUUUUUUUUCUCCUUUUUUUUUGUUUUUGUUUACAUGCGUUUCAGCUUGUUUGGAGCUGGUGCUGUUUCUCAUUUGGACUAAAGGAAUGGGAGUGGUAUUAAAGGAGAAGUGCACACUCUGUUCUUUGCUCAUGUUAAAGGGGUGCUCCUGAAACCAUGCUGAAUGGUUUUGGGCUUUUUUUUUUCUUUCUUUUUUUUUGGGGGGGGGGGGGGGGGGGACAUGUCGAGAUUGUAAAACGUAACGUUCUGGGAAUUUUUAGAGCGUAGAUUUCAAUUUAAAAGCUUGGGGCUGCGACUGAGAUUAGAUCAAUGAAGCGUUCUUUAUCAAGGCUUUUCAGACUUUUCAUUACCCCCUUUCAACGUCAGAAUGAUUUCCCAUCUACUAAUUAGCUAGAAAAAUGACCCAGUAUUACGUUAUCAGAAUCUGGAGAAGAAGAAAAAAAACCCUGCUAAUAUAAUAAAUCUAAAUCUAAAGAUGAUCUUAAAAGCAGUACUCUGAAAAGUAUUCCAUUUUCUUUGUGCAUCGUUUCAGAUUCAUUUCUUAGGAACAGUUCUUACGUGUGAAGCUGCGUGUACAGUUCCCGAGCCUCCGCUCUAAAUCCCCAUUCGAACCCCCACGGCUGCUGCGGCAACAGUUUAGCGUAGAUUUGCUCAGGCUGCUAUGACACUAUUUUAACCCUAGCUGAUUAACAAACAGCUCCUUGCUAAUGCCAUCCUGGACCGACUGCUUACAUUCGCGCUGUCCGACACGCUCCAGAGGUUCACGCCGUGUAAAAACAAGCACACGCGUGCUAACACUCCUAUCUCUCUCACACAGAUGCACACACAUGCAGUGCUGAGCUUGUGUCCCCUUCCACUGUGGACAUGCUGGCUGUCACCUUGCUGAUUGUGACACACGCGUGGCGUUGUACAAAUAAAACCCAACACCGUGCAAA